GCCGGGCAUGGUGGCACAUGCCUGUAGUCCCAGCUACUCAGGAGGCUGAGAUGGGAGGAUCUCUUGAGCCCAGGAGUUCUGGGCUGUAGUGCGCUAUGCUGAUCGGGUGUCUGCACCAAGUUCAGCACCAAUAUGGUGACCUCUCAGGAGCAGGGGACCACCAGGUUGCCUAAGGAGGGGUGAACCGAAAUGGAGGUCAAAACUCUCAUGCUAAUCAGUAGUAGGAUUGUGCCUGCACGCCAGCCUGGGCAACAUAGUGAGACCCAGUCUCUA
ensembl:misc_RNA Metazoa_SRP Metazoan signal recognition particle RNA